CGAAAGCCUGACGGAGCAACGCCGCGUGAGGGAUGAAGGCCUCUGGGCUGUAAACCUCUUUUCUCAAGGAAGAAGAACUGACGGUACUUGAGGAAUAAGCCACGGCUAAUUCCGUGCCAGCAGCCGCGGUAAUACGGGAGUGGCAAGCGUUAUCCGGAAUUAUUGGGCGUAAAGCGUCCGCAGGCGGCCCUUCAAGUCUGCUGUUAAAAAGUGGAGCUUAACUCCAUCGUGGCAGUGGAAACUGUUGGGCUAGAGUGUGGUAGGGGCAGAGGGAAUUCCCGGUGUAGCGGUGAAAUGCGUAGAUA
rnacentral:rRNA from 1 species